rnacentral:tRNA from 1 species
GGUAAGAUGGCCGAGUGGUUAAGGCGAGCGGUUUAAGCCCGCUUGACGAGAGUCUCGUGGGUUCGAACCCCACUCUUACCA